rnacentral:lncRNA from 1 species
AUGAUGAGCGCUUCUGCAGGGCAGACACCUUCUGGAGGCUCACUGGAUAUGCAGCAGAACCCAUCCCUCGGUGGUCAAACUAGGGAGCUGCUGAUGACACACAGGAAGUCUGCAGAGCUUAUGGAGGUAUCAGAAGGGCGGCUAUUUGUCAGGACUGGGUUUACUUGGGAGUGGAGUUCUGCAAACUACAUAGGACCACGUCUGAAUCAUCCUGCUGGAGGAGGAAAGACCAGGCAGAGCUGAGUUAUCAGUCAAGGUUAUCCUGGAUCACUGCAUCCUUGAACAUGCAAGAUAAAAGGUCAGUCAAGAUCAGCAGAGCUGUUUACAAAUGCAUGUGGUUCCAGUCUGAUCAGCCAGGC